rnacentral:rRNA from 1 species
CAGCAGCCGCGGUAAUACGGAGGAUGCAAGCGUUGUCCGGAUUCAUUGGGUUUAAAGGGUGCGUAGGCGGAGAUUUAAGUCAGUGGUGAAAGCUUACAGCUCAACUGUAAAAAUGCCAUUGAAACUGAAUUUCUUGAGUUCGAUUGAGGUAGAUGGAAUGUAUCAUGUAGCGGUGAAAUGCUUAGAUAUGAUACAGAACACCAAUUGCGAAGGCAGCUCGUUACACGAAGAUUGACUCUGAGGCACGAAAGCGUGGGGAUCAAACAGGAUUAGAUACCCUGGUAGUCCACGCCCUAAACUAUGGAUACUCGACAUACGCGAUACACUGUGUGUGUCUGAGCGAAAGCAUUAAGUAUCCCACCUGGGAAGUACGACCGCAAGGUUGAAACUCAAAGGAAUUGACGG